rnacentral:rRNA from 3 species
GGGUUGUGAGGUUAAGCGACUAAGCGUACACGGUGGAUGCCCUGGCAGUCAGAGGCGAUGAAGGGCGUGCUAAUCUGCGAUAAGCGCCGGUAAGGUGAUAUGAACCGUUAUAACCGGCGAUACCCGAAUGGGGAAACCCAGUGUGACUCGUCACACUAUCAUUAACUGAAUCCAUAGGUUAAUGAGGCGAACCGGGGGAACUGAAACAUCUAAGUACCCCGAGGAAAAGAAAUCAACCGAGAUUCCCCCAGUAGCGGCGAGCGAACGGGGAGGAGCCCAGAGCCUGAAUCAGCAUGUGUGUUAGUGGAAGCGUCUGGAAAGGCGCGCGAUACAGGGUGACAGCCCCGUACACAAAAGCGCAUGUGCUGUGAGCUCGAUGAGUAGGGCGGGACACGUGGUAUCCUGUCUGAAUAUGGGGGGACCAUCCUCCAAGGCUAAAUACUCCUGACUGACCGAUAGUGAACCAGUACCGUGAGGGAAAGGCGAAAAGAACCCCGGCGAGGGGAGUGAAAAAGAACCUGAAACCGUGUACGUACAAGCAGUGGGAGCACAGGUUUACCUGUGUGACUGCGUACCUUUUGUAUAAUGGGUCAGCGACUUAUAUUCUGUAGCAAGGUUAACCGUAUAGGGGAGCCGGAGGGAAACCGAGUCUUAAC